GACGAACGCUGGCGGCGUGCCUAAUACAUGCAAGUCGAACGAGAGCGCCCGGUGCUUGCACUGGUCAAUCUAGUGGCGAACGGGUGAGUAACACGUGGGUAACCUGCCCAUCAGAGGGGGAUAACAUCCGGAAACGGAUGCUAAAACCGCAUAGGUCUUCGAGCCGCAUGGCUUGAAGAGGAAAAGAGGCGCAAGCUUCUGCUGAUGGAUGGACCCGCGGUGCAUUAGCUAGUUGGUGAGGUAACGGCUCACCAAGGCCGUGAUGCAUAGCCGACCUGAGAGGGUGAUCGGCCACAUUGGGACUGAGACACGGCCCAAACUCCUACGGGAGGCAGCAGUAGGGAAUCUUCCGCAAAGGACGCAAGUCUGACGGAGCAACGCCGCGUGAGUGAAGAAGGUUUUCGGAUCGUAAAACUCUGUUGUUAGAGAAGAACAAGUGCUAGAGUAACUGUUAGCGCCUUGACGGUAUCUAACCAGAAAGCCACGGCUAACUACGUG
rnacentral:rRNA from 1 species